AAGCGUGGAUAGAUUUGAAUGCUUGCAACCACUAGAAAAAAUGCUAAAACG
rnacentral:ncRNA from 1 species